ACCAGAUUCAACAUUAUAUUCAAACUUUCAAAGUGAUUUUAGUGUUAUCCAACAGUUGCCUUUGUAGUUUCAAGAGGAAAUGGAUUUACAAGGAAAAAGAGGGUAAAGGGGAUAUGGUAUUUUAAAUAAACUUUUUUUUUUCUUUUCCAGACUUUUGUUUGUUAGUAUAUUUUUUAAAAGUUGUUUCAUCCAGUCAAAAGAGUAAACGGGUAGUAAAGUCCAUAAUAGUACAGUUCCACAAAAAACAAAGAGCAUAAUUUUGAUAUUUAUAUUAAAGUUUGUAAUAGCAUUUAGAAACCCUAGUUCCUUUGCCUGUCCUAUAUAAUGAUGCUUUAUCAAUCCUUCUCAUUCUCAACUCAACCUGCUGCGGCUGAGAUGAAGAGAGUUCACAACGAUGAACAAGAGGAUGACGACGGUUAUGAUGAUGAUGAUGAAAUCUGUUUUCACCAUGAGUCUUCUUGAUGGAUUCUUCAGAUCAAUUGAAUCAAUGAGUUACCAAGUUUAUGAUCAUGGUUCCCAGUAAAAAAAAAAAAAAAAAAAAAA